UUUAAAUAUAGCUGUAAGUUUCUACAUUCAAUAUUUAAUCGUUCAUCUUAUUUAAAACUUUUUUAUGGUUAGUAUUUUUAUUAUAAAUAAUAUUUUAUACAUGACUUAUAUUUUUAUUUUUUUUUCGAAAGAAAAUCAAAUAAAACGAAUGGUCAAACGUUGAAUACGGAAACCCAUGUUGACAGCAGCG
rfam:Oryza glumipatula chromosome 7, whole genome shotgun sequence.